rnacentral:sRNA from 22 species
GGAAUUUCGCUGGGGUCGACCUCCUCCCCGACCCAAGCGAAUACGGUCCGCCCUUACCCUCCUCCCAAGGGCUGACCAUCAAAACGGCGCCCGCUGCACCUCCUCCCGCGGCGGGCGUUGUUU